CUGAUCUCAAAUCAGGUAGGACUACCCGCUGAACUUAAGCAUAUCAAUAAGCGGAGGAAAAGAAACUAACAAGGAUUCCCCUAGUAACUGCGAGUGAAGCGGGAAAAGCUCAAAUUUAAAAUCUGGCAGUCUUUGAUUGUCCGAGUUGUAUUCUAGAGAAGUGUCUUCCGCGUUGGACCGUGUACAAGUCUCUUGGAACAGAGCGUCAUAGAGGGUGAGAAUCCCGUCUUUGACACGGACUACCAGUGCUUUGUGAUGCGCUCUCAAAGAGUCGAGUUGUUUGGGAAUGCAGCUCAAAAUGGGUGGUAAAUUCCAUCUAAAGCUAAAUAUUGGCGAGAGACCGAUAGCGAACAAGUACCGUGAGGGAAAGAUGAAAAGCACUUUGGAAAGAGAGUUAAACAGUACGUGAAAUUGUUGAAAGGGAAACGCUUGAAGUCAGUCGCGUUAGUCAGAACUCAGCCUUGCUUUUGCUUGGUGCACUUUCUGAUUGACGGGCCAGCAUCAGUUUUGACUGCAGGAGAAAGGUCAGGGGAAUGUGGCAUCUUCGGAUGUGUUAUAGCCUCUGAUUGUAUACUGUGAUUGGGACUGAGGAACUCAGCACGCGCAAGCUGUGCUUAGGAUGCUGGCGUAAUGGCUUUAAACGACCCGUCUUGAAACACGGACCAAGGAGUCUAACAUGCCUGCGAGUAUUUGGGUGGUAAACCCGAGUGCGCAAUGAAAGUGAAAGUUGGGAUCUCUGUCGUGGAGAGCACCGACGCCCGGACCAGACCUUCUGUGACGGAUCUGCGGUAGAGCAUGUAUGUUGGGACCCGAAAGAUGGUGAACUAUGCCUGAAUAGGGUGAAGCCAGAGGAACUCUGGUGGAGGCUCGUAGCGAUUCUGACGUGCAAAUCGAUCGUCAAAUUUGGGUAUAGGGGCGAAAGACUAAUCGAACCAUCUAGUAGCUGGUUCCUGC
rnacentral:rRNA from 1 species